GUUAACCUUUCAUCUUGGAGGCUCUUGUAGUUAAUUAAGGAACAUUAGAAGAACUCCGGAUACCAUUAAAUUAUGAAAUUUUGGAGCAUUGGUUGUAUUAGUCCUCUUGCCCUGGAAACUAGCUGUGCCCAUGGUUCUAAAGAAAGCAUGAAAGUGCUUUUUUUUUCAUUAGAAUGAAGACAGUGUGCUGAAAAAAGAUUUAUGACAACGAACUGAUUGUCCCACAAAUGAGAAGGAAUUGCAGUCAAUUUUGGUGCUACUAAAACAACCGAUGCUUUUGACGUCUUCACCUUGCAACAUUAUGCAGUUAUUUUUUGCCGUAACAAUGGGAGGCAAUUGGAAAUGAAUUAAUUUGGAAGCAACCAGAACAACAAAUUAUCUGCAGUGGUAUCCUUUCUAGAUUUGGUUGGUUUGCUCAUCACACUGGUAGACUUUAGAACGCCACUUUCUACAAUUAAUUAUGGUUAUACAAUAAAUGAGAGAAUUAAUGUGCAGUUUGGUUAUACUGAAACAGCCCAAGUCUACAAGGGUGUGGUCUUUCCUGGAUUAUAUUCUUGAUUUGCUGUUUCGUCUUCGCCUUGUAACAUCAUGCAGUUAAUUUUCAACCCAUGAGCGAGAGCAACUGGAUAUUUAUUUGAAUUCCACCGAAAUAAGAAAUUCUCUGCUACAGUAUCCUUUCUGGAGUUGGUUUACUUUUCGCACCUGUACACUUUGGAAUGUUACGUGCUAUAAUUAAUUAAGGUGAGAAUACUUGAUAUA